CAGUGCAUGACUAUAUCGCCAG
rnacentral:miRNA from 1 species